GAUGAACGCUGGCGGCGUGCCUAAUACAUGCAAGUCGAGCGAACAGAUGAGGAGCUUGCUCCUCUGACGUUAGCGGCGGACGGGUGAGUAACACGUGGAUAACCUACCUAUAAGACUGGGAUAACUUCGGGAAACCGGAGCUAAUACCGGAUAAUAUAUUGAACCGCUUGGUUCAAUAGUGAAAGACGGUUUUGCUGUCACUUAUAGAUGGAUCCGCGCCGCAUUAGCUAGUUGGUAAGUUAACGGCUUACCAAGGCAACGAUGCGUAGCCGACCUGAGAGGGUGAUCGGCCACACUGGAACUGAGACACGGUCCAGACUCCUACGGGAGGCAGCAGUAGGGAAUCUUCCGCAAUGGGCGAAAGCCUGACGGAGCAACGCCGCGUGAGUGAUGAAGGUCUUCGGAUCGUAAAACUCUGUUAUUAGGGAAGAACAAAUGUGUAAGUAACUAUGCACGUCUUGACGGUACCUAAUCAGAAAGCCACGGCUAACUACGUG
rnacentral:rRNA from 1 species